UCCGGGAUCGUAUAGUGGUAGUACGCUAGGUUCUGGUCCUAGUAACCUUGGUUCGAAUCCAAGUCCCGGAGCAA
rnacentral:tRNA from 3 species